rnacentral:sRNA from 1 species
AAUAAAAAAUUGUGCUAAAAAAUACAACGGAUAGAUAACAGUCAAUAAGAUAACAGAAAAUAACGAUAAAAAGACACUAACAAAAAAAGUGU